rnacentral:tmRNA from 1 species
GGAUUCGACGGGAUUUGCGAAACCCAAGGUGCAUGCCGAGGUGCGGUAGGCCUCGCUAAAAAACCGCAAAAAAAUAGUCGCAAACGACGAAAACUACGCUUUAGCAGCUUAAUAACCUGCUGAGAGCCCUCUCUCCCUAGCCUCCGCUCUUAGGACGGGGAUCAAGAGAGGUCAAACCCAAAAGAGAUCGCGUGGAGACCUAGCUUGGGGUUGAAGCGCUAAAACUAAUCAAGCUAGUUUGUCAGUGGCGUGUCCUUCCGCAGCUGGCAGGCGAAUGUAAAGACGGACUAAGCAUGUAGUACCGACGGUGUAGUAAUUUCGGACGGGGGUUCAAAUCCCCCCAGCUCCACCA